UGGGGAAUAUUGCACAAUGGGCGCAAGCCUGAUGCAGCCAUGCCGCGUGUGUGAAGAAGGCCUUCGGGUUGUAAAGCACUUUCAGCGAGGAGGAAGGUGGUGAGCUUAAUACGCUCAUCAAUUGACGUUACUCGCAGAAGAAGCACCGGCUAACUCCGUGCCAGCAGCCGCGGUAAUACGGAGGGUGCAAACGUUAAUCGGAAUUACUGGGCGUAAAGCGCACGCAGGCGGUUUGUUAAGUCAGAUGUGAAAUCCCCGGGCUCAACCUGGGAACUGCAUUUGAAACUGGCAAGCUAGAGUCUCGUAGAGGGGGGUAGAAUUCCAGGUGUAGCGGUGAAAUGCGUAGAGAUCUGGAGGAAUACCGGUGGCGAAGGCGGCCCCCCUGGACGAAGACUGACGCUCAGGUGCGAAAGCGUGGGGCAGCAAACAGGAUUAGAUACCCUGGUAGUCCACGCUGUAAACGAUGUCGAUUUGGAGGUUGUGCCCCUUGAGGCGUGGCUUCCGGAGCUAACGCGUUAAAGUCGA
rnacentral:rRNA from 1 species